AGCUGGAUGUGCCGUUCCCAACCGGGCAUCACAGAUUAUCAGUGGGCAUCACAACAGCCAAACAAGCAGGCUUGGCACAAGAGAACACAUUGAGAACCCCCGCUCUGAGGCUUGACCUUUCCCAAGAUUUACUGUCAGAUUAGCUCCCAUGCAGAAUGCAUUUGAUCUGUGGCAGCGAACACCUUGAAGGAGAAUCAGGAACAAAGGAAGCAAGUGGCACAAGUCAAGGUCCAAUUUUGUGAGGGAGAAAGGGAAACACCACAAUGUACACCAGAACCUGAGAUACAUUCCUUCAGCUUUUAUCAGAAUACAACUUCCUCUGGGUUGGAAAAAUAUAAACCAUCUGUCAAA